UGAACGCUAGCGUACAGGCUUAACACAUGCAAGUCAGGGGCAGCAUGAUCGAAGCUUGCUUUGAUUGAUGGCGACCGGCGCACUGGUGAGUAACACGUAUGCAACCUGCCCCCUGGUUCGGGGGGAUAACCCGCGGAAACGCGGCCCUAAUACCCCGUAUGCGCCGAGGCCGCAUGACUUCGGCGUGAUAGAACUUCGUCCAGGGGAUGGGCAUGCGGCGCAUUAGCUGGUUGGCGGGGCAACGGCCCACCAAGGCAACGAUGCGUAGGGGUUCUGAGAGGAAGGUCCCCCACACUGGUACUGAGACACGGACCAGACUCCUACGGGAGGCAGCAGUGAGGAAUAUUGGUCAAUGGGCGGUAGCCUGAACCAGCCAAGUCGCGUGAGGGAUGACGGCCCUACGGGUUGUAAACUUCUUUUGCCGGGGAGUAACCCGCGUCACGUGUGGCGCGCUGAGAGUACCCGGCGAAUAAGCAUCGGCUAACUCCGUGCC
rnacentral:rRNA from 1 species